rnacentral:rRNA from 1 species
AUACGGAGGAUGCGAGCGUUAUCCGGAUUUAUUGGGUUUAAAGGGUGCGUAGGCGGGCUGUUAAGCGUGAGGUGAAAGCUCGGGGCUCAACCCCGGAACUGCCUCGCGAACUGGCGGUCUUGAAUGUCCGUGCCGUGGGAGGAAUGUGUGGUGUAGCGGUGAAAUGCAUAGAGAUCACACAGAACACCGAUUGCGAAGGCAUCUCACGAAGGGAUGAUUGACGCUGAGGCACGAAAGCGUGGGGAUCAAACAGGAUUAGAUACCCUGUUAUUCCACGCCGUAAACGAUGAUGACUAACCGCCUGCGAUAUAGUGUAGGUGGCCAAGCGAAAGCGAUAAGUCAUCCACCUGGGGAGUACGACCGCAAGGUUGAAACUUAAAGGAAUUGACGGGG